rnacentral:rRNA from 1 species
UGUCAAGUCGGAUGUGAAAUCCCCGGGCUCAACCUGGGAACUGCAUUCGAAACUGGCAGGCUAGAGUCUUGUAGAGGGGGGUAGAAUUCCAGGUGUAGCGGUGAAAUGCGUAGAGAUCUGGAGGAAUACCGGUGGCGAAGGCGGCCCCCUGGACAAAGACUGACGCUCAGGUGCGAAAGCGUGGGGAGCAAACAGGAUUAGAUACCCUGGUAGUCCACGCCGUAAACGAUGUCGAUUUGGAGGUUGUGCCCUUGAGGCGUGGCUUCCGGAGCUAACGCGUUAAAUCGACCGCCUGGGGAGUACGGCCGCAAGGUUAAAACUCAAAUGAAUUGACGGGGGCCCGCACAAGCGGUGGAGCAUGUGGUUUAAUUCGAUGCAACGCGAAGAACCUUACCUGGUCUUGACAUCCACAGAACUUUCCAGAGAUGGAUUGGUGCCUUCGGGAACUGUGAGACAGGUGCUGCAUGGCUGUCGUCAGCUCGUGUUGUGAAAUGUUGGGUUAAGUCCCGCAACGAGCGCAACCCUUAUCCUUUGUUGCCAGCGGUUCGGCCGGGAACUCAAAGGAGACUGCCAGUGAUAAACUGGAGGAAGGUGGGGAUGACGUCAAGUCAUCAUGGCCCUUACGACCAGGGCUACACACGUGCUACAAUGGCAUAUACAAAGAGAAGCGACCUCGCGAGAGCAAGCGGACCUCAUAAAGUAUGUCGUAGUCCGGAUUGGAGUCUGCAACUCGACUCCAUGAAGUCGGAAUCGCUAGUAAUCGUAGAUCAGAAUGCUACGGUGAAUACGUUCCCGGGCCUUGUACACACCGCCCGUCACACCAUGGGAGUGGGUUGCAAAAGAAGUAGGUAGCUUAACCUUCGGGAGGGCGCUUACCACUUUGUGAUUCAUGACUGGGGUGAAGUCGUAACAAGGUAACCGUAGGGGAACCUGCGGUUGGAUCACCUCCUU